rnacentral:rRNA from 1 species
GCUGUAACUCGCCCUCAUGAAGCUGGAUUUCGUAGUAAUCGCGACUCAAAAUGGCGCGGUGAAUAUGCCCCUGCUCCUUGCACACACCGCCCGUCAAACCAUCUUAGUUGGGGUUGGGUGAGGCUACCUUAUUUUGGGGUAUUCGAGCCUGUCUUCGACAAGGAGGGUUAAGUCGUAACAAGGUAUCUGUAGGGGAACCUGCAGAUGGAUCACCUCCUAAGAAA